UCCGUAGGCGGGCUAAUAAGUCAGAGGUGAAAUCCCACAGCUUAACUGUGGAACUGCCUUAGAUACUGAUUAUCUUGAGUCUUAGUGAAGUAGAUAGAAUGUGUAGUGUAGCGGUGAAAUGCAUAGAUAUUACACAGAAUACCGAUUGCGAAGGCAGUCUACUAACUAACAACUGACGCUAAUGGACGAAAGCGUGGGGAGCGAACAGGAUUAGAUACCCGAGUAGUCC
rnacentral:rRNA from 1 species